UACGUAGGGGGCUAGCGUUGUCCGGAAUCAUUGGGCGUAAAGAGCGUGUAGGCGGCUCGGUAAGUCCGCUGUAAAAGUCAAAGGCUCAACCUUUGAAUGUCAGUGGAUACUGCCGGGCUAGAGUCCGGAAGAGGCGAGUGGAACUCCUGGUGUAGCGGUGGAAUGCGCAGAUAUCAGGAAGAACACCAACGGCGAAGGCAGCUCGCUGGGACGGUACUGACGCUGAGGCGCGAAAGCGUGGGGAGCGAACAGG
rnacentral:rRNA from 1 species